rnacentral:sRNA from 1 species
AUGUACCGCUCGUACACUCCGGUUCCUGCGCGCCGCGCACACCCGCCUGACAACCGCUCGCUACGUUUUGUUACCC